UGUAGUCUAUGGUGCCAACAGGACUAUAAAUUUGCAAGGGGCUAGAUUUCAGCCUUUUUUGUCUGACAUGAGGAUAAAGGAGAGACGUGUUCAUUUGUCGUCUGGAAAACAUUCAUCUCAAUUGAAGUCGCUUCAACUCUAUUAAAUAUGUUUAAGGGAAACCUGACUGGAAUAUUACUUUACAACUCCAUUGAAAAACACUCCAUUGAAGACAAAGCAUUGAUGCUUUGACAGGAUUUGAUGGCUUGAUUUAAAGGUAAUGUGCCUAUAACAUGUGGAAUGUCUUUUGGACCCAAGCUGUACUCAUAAUCAUGGCAGAGGCUACUUCCUCGUUGUUGAUCUCUUUUCCUUGGGAGAAUAACCCAGGACUUUGGCACAGUUUGAAGUAGUCUCCAUCUACAACAAUCUGACUAGAAGACCUGAGACACUUUUACUUGUAAUAUGUUGAAACUCUACUAAUGUUGUGUCGCUGUGUAAUGAGCUUGGUUUGUGUACCUCCACAGGAUUGUUCCUGUCUGGACUUGAAUGGGGGUAUAUGGACUUAUGCAUCCUGCAGGUGACUUCCUAAACUCCAGACCAAGUGCAAGGACAACUUGCCAACUAUGGAAUGCUUCAACUAUUCAAGGAAUAAUGUAGACGAGACAGGAGAUGCUUAGGCUGGAUUGAUGGCUCAAUUGGAGUCGAUGCAAGGGAAACCUGACUAUGAAAUAUUACUUUACAACUAAAUUGAAUGAAUAAUGGAGAUGCUUGGGCUGGAUUGAUGGCUCAAUUGGAGUCGCUGCAAGACAAAGCAUUGUUGCUUUGACAGGAUUUGAUGGCUUGAUUUAAAGGAUUGUUCCUGUCUGGACUUGAAUGGGGGUAUAUGGACUUAUGCAUCCUGCAGGUGACUCCCUAAACUCCAGACCAAGUGCAAGGAACACUUGCAAGCUACAUGAUUUCAACUAUUCAAGACAAAGGGGUGGCAGGUAGCCUAGUGGUUAAAGCGUUGG